GGGGGUUUGGCGGAAUGGUAGACGCGGCAGACUCAAAAUCUGCUUCCUAACGGAGUAUCGGUUCGAGUCCGAUAACCCCUA
rfam:Paracoccus yeei strain FDAARGOS_252 plasmid unnamed3, complete sequence.